rnacentral:rRNA from 1 species
CACCCGAUCCCAUUCCGAACUCGGCCGUGAAAGCCUGCAGCGCCGAUGGUACUUUGUCUUAAGGCACGGGAGAGUAGGUCGCCGCCUGGUC